AUGGCCCUUCGUUUCCUUCUUAUUUUUUUUCGAGUCUAUCGUUUCCUUCUUCUAGAUGUCAGGCUUUUGCCACAUGGUCAAGUGGGGCUUCAAGCCUUGUCACCCCUUUUUGCUCUCCAAGAAGCUCAACAUGUGACUGUAGUGCUUCUGGCGCCAACUCAUUCGUUCACAGGGCAAGUGCCUAAUUUGAGCCCUUAUUUGCUGAGCCACAUUUGUCCUCCCCUCCAAUGGGGUCUCCCAGUUAUCUCCCAUUUCUUCCCCACAUACGGGUCUGGACAAAUGGGGCGGGUUUGGGAAGAGGGUCGUUACACACGCUUUUUUCUCCGAACUAUCCGGGCAGACAUAUUGGGUGAGUUUGGGGAUUGCGUGAGAUUUUGUAGGUGA
rnacentral:rRNA from 1 species